CCUACGGGUGGCAGCAGUGGGGAAUAUUGCACAAUGGGGGAAACCCUGAUGCAGCGACGCCGCGUGAGUGAGGAAGUAUUUCGGUAUGUAAAGCUCUAUCAGCAGGGAAGAAAUUGACGGUACCUGACUAAGAAGCCUCGGUUAAAUACGUGCCAGCAGCCACGGCAAGACGGAGGGGGCAAGCGUUAUCCGGAUUUACUGGGUGUAAAGGUAGCGUAGACGGCUAAGCAAGUCAGAAGUGAAAGCCCAGGGCGCAACCAUGGAACUGCUUUUGAAACUGAGUAGCUAGAGUGCAGGAGAGGUAAGCGGAAUUCCUAGUGUAGCGGUGAAAUGCGUAGAUAUUAGGAGGAACACCAGUGGCGAAGGCGGCUUACUGGACUGUAACUGACGUUGAGGCUCGAAAGCGUGGGGAGCAAACAGGAUUAGAUACCCCAGUAGUC
rnacentral:rRNA from 1 species